rnacentral:rRNA from 1 species
GGUCUUCGGACUGGGAGCGUACACAGGUGCUGCAUGGCUGUCGUCAGCUCGUGUCGUGAGAUGUUGGGUUAAGCCCCGCAACCGAGCGCAACCCCUGCUGCCAGUUGCCAACGGGUAGGAGCCGGGCACUCUGGCGGGACUGCCAUCGACAGAUGGAGGAAGUGGGGAUGACGUCAAGUCAUCGUGGCCCUUACGGCCUGGGCUACACACGUGCUACAAUGGUCGGUACAAAGGGUUGCCAAGCCGCGAGGUGGAGCUAAUCCCAUAAAACCGAUCGUAGUCCGGAUCGCAGUCUGCAACUCGACUGCGUGAAGUCGGAAUCGCUAGUAAUCGUGAAUCAGAAUGUCACGGUGAAUACGUUCCCGGGCCUU